rnacentral:rRNA from 1 species
UACGAAGGGGGCUAGCGUUGUUCGGAAAGUCACUGGGCGUAAAGCGGCACGUAAGGCGGAGUCUUUAAAGUCAGAGGUGAAAUCCCAAGGCUCAACCUUGGAACUGCCUUUGAUACUGGGGGAAUCUUGAGUCCGGGAGAGGUGAGUGGAACUGCGAGUGUAGAGGUGAAAUUCGUAGAUAUUCGCAAGAACACCAGUGGCGAAGGCGGCUCACUGGCCCGGUACUGACGCUGACGGGUGCGAAAAGCGUGGGGAG